GCCUGCCCAGGUAGAAGGCGGCUGCCUCCACGGCUUGGGAGGGUUGGAAGGAGACAGUGUGCGGCUGUGGAGGCCCCUGAAGGAAUGCCUACCCCUGGUGGAGCGGAGGAGCUGAUCUCAUCCUGGGCUCGUUCCCAAGAGAUGUUUUAAGGGGCCAACCUCUUGGCCUUCCUCCAAAAUGUCUAAUUGGACCAUGUGGGGCCCCGACUGGAGGCUAACGUUUUCAGGUUCAAGCGCUGUUCACACCAGAAGAGUGACCGACCGCCAUCUUCCUGGAGGGCGCCCCACGGCAGGAAACAGGGGUGCAGCCCUUGGUGAGGGAGCCAAGUGGACAGGGUUCCGUCAAGCCCCGGGAAGGAUUUCUAAAGCAGGUCUUGUUCCCUGAAGCGCUUCAAAGGGAGAACUGCUGGGGUGGGGGCACUUGUCCUGAGAAACUGGGGGUCCUGGAGGUUCCUUUCCAGCCCUGGGACUCCCACGAGUGCCUUCUUUUGAGAUGAAAAAAGAUCUCCGGGGUUUUCUAACACAGUGUCUCCUUCCAGCGUUGCUUUCCCCUCUUCAAACUCACGCCCGCCCUCGAGCGAACCAGAUAUUUACAAUAUUCAGAAUUCUAUUCACCAAUAUGCAGUGCGCGCGGCUCUAUGGGUCAGUGGAGAGCGCGCAAUGUUCCACUCGGGAGACAAUAAAGUUCAUCAGACAGACGGGGAGGAGGAGAGGGAGCAGCCACGGCAGCGUCUCCGGGAGGCAAAAUGAGCAACGGGAGCUCUGCAGGAGAGGCCACCACCACCACCAUCCUCCUCCUCGUCACAGCUAACAGAUGGAGCUCGCGGGGGCCAGAUCCUGUUCUAAGACUACCAUCUCAUCCAAACCUCACGACGCCUCGGUGAGGGAAAUCCUACUGCCGUUUUAUAAGGGGGGAAACUCAGGUACGUAACAAGUGAGUCACCUGCCCAAGAUCACACAGCAGGUAAGUGCUAGGAUUCAAAGGCGGGCAGUCUGGCUGCAGAGUCUGUGCUCUGAGAGCCAGCCCUUGCACUGGCCCUUAAUAAGAGAUGUUUCCUAGGGGCAGGGAGUGAAUCCCCUCCAUGUCUCCCCCCGUCGCAGGCUCACGCAGGAACGCUGACGUAAAACAGAUGACAAUGGUUCUACACGUUCACAGAAGCUUGGGGCUCGACGGACAAUGCAGUGGAGAAAGCACUGCCUGUGUCCCUGUCCUCUCUAUCCCUGAAGCGACCGGGGCUGGUGGGAACGAGGAGGAAACAGCUCACGCGUCUUGAGCACUGCGUGCCAGGACCCGUGUCACCACCUGCCUUCACCCGUAGGCGUGGACCUGUCAUCAUUCCCGUUUUACAGGUGCCUGCCCUGCUGGUGAGUGUCAAGGCCGUGGGCCGGCUGCACGCAGGGGGUGUGGUCCCUCCCGUCACGACGGGAGGCGAGGGAAAGGCUGCCAGCCGGCAAGAGAGAGGAACAGAUGUCUGGACAAACAUGGCCACGUGUCAACAAAGCAGGCACUUGAGUUCAAGACGCGGAGAGAAAGGUGGCUGGCGGGCGUGUCGAGGUCCCGGGGUGCCCUCUCUGCCUGCGCGUGUUCCCAGGGCCCACAAAGGCCGCAGCUGUGUCCCUGAGAUGUCACCUUCAGCUGCACCCACGGGGCCUCUGGUGACGCCAACAUGCUGCAGGCCAACGAGUGUGAUUCCAACAAACACUCUCUGCUUCUCUGGAGAAGGGGUUCCUAGCCUGUUGCUGGCCUGUACCCUCAAGGGAAGACAGGGCAGGACGGGGGAUGGCUGCCCGUGGCACAGGCUCACGGGUGGAGCCCACGAUGACAGCGCCACGGCCCCGUCCCCCCAGGAUCCUGACCUGGGGCUGUGAGGGCGGCGACCAUGGAUGCAGCCGGAACCCCAGUCACCCAGCCUCUGCCGAGAAGGGUGAGGACCCACUGCACCAAGCCCCAAACCCGGAGAGGCUGCCUUGCUUCAAAAAUAAAAGGUGGUUCUAUCUCCAAGGAAUUCGGUACACGUGCUUAAACACAGCGGCACCUGCCUGGCCGGACCUCACCUGAAACCAGCACAAAAGAGAAGCCCCAGACACCAGCAGGAAGAAGGGGGGAGAAAGGCUUCCCCGCGGGUUGCCACAGGGAUGC